GAUGAAGAACGCAGCGAAAUGCGAUAAGUAAUGUGAAUUGCAGAAUUCAGUGAAUCAUCGAAUCUUUGAACGCACAUUGCGCCCCCUGGUAUUCCGGGGGGCAUGCCUGUUCGAGCGUCAUUUCACCACUCAAGCCUCGCUUGGUAUUGGGCAACGCGGUCCGCCGCGUGCCUCAAAUCGACCGGCUGGGUCUUCUGUCCCCUAAGCGUUGUGGAAACUAUUCGCUAAAGGGUGUUCGGGAGGCUACGCCGUAAAACAAACCCAUUUCUAAGGUUGACCUCGGAUCAGGUAGGGAUACCCGCUGAACUUAAGCAUAUCAAUAAGCGGAGGA
rnacentral:misc_RNA from 1 species